rnacentral:rRNA from 1 species
AACGUAGGAGACAAACGUUAUCCGGAGUUACUGGGCGUAAAGGGCGUGUAGGUGGUUGCGUAAGUCUGGCGUGAAAUUUUUCGGCUUAACCGGGAAAGGUCGUCGGAUACUGCGUAGCUAGAGGACGGUAGAGGCGUGUGGAAUUCCGGGUGUAGUGGUGAAAUGCGUAGAGAUCCGGAGGAACACCAGUGGCGAAGGCGACACGCUGGGCCGUACCUGACACUGAUGCGCGACAGCAUUGGGAGCAAACAGG